AACUUUCAACAACGGAUCUCUAGGCUCUUGCAUCGAUGAAGAACGCAGUGAAAUGUGAUAAGUAAUGUGAAUUGCAGAAUCUCGUGAAUCAUCAAAUCUUUGAACGCAUAUUGCGCCCAAUGGUAUUCCACUGGGCAUACCUGUUUGAGUGUCU
rnacentral:rRNA from 1 species